rnacentral:tRNA from 1 species
GCGGGUAUCGUAUAGUGGCUAUUACCCCAGCCUUCCAAGCUGAUGACGAGGGUUCGAUUCCCUCUACCCGCUCCA